CGAGGCGUAGCUAUAAUACAAAGCAUUCAGCUUACACCUGAAAGAUAUCUGCCCCAGAUCGCCUUGA
rnacentral:tRNA from 1 species